rnacentral:tRNA from 1 species
GGUCGAUUAGCUUAGUCGGUAGAGCGUGGUACUAAUAGAGUCAGAAUAGAUUCCUUUGAUCUGUCAUGCCAAGGUCAUGGGUUCGAUCCCCAUAUUGACCA